rnacentral:tRNA from 3 species
GGACGACUAGCUCAGUGGUAGAGCGCUUCGUUGACAUCGAAGAGGCCGUUGGUUCAAUCCCAACGUCGUCCACCA